rnacentral:rRNA from 1 species
GACGAACGCUGGCGGCGUGCCUAAUACAUGCAAGUCGAACGCAGUGGGGCCGGGUGAUUAACACGUUGGUAACCUCCCAGCCGAGGGGAUAACACUUGGAAACAGGUGCUCAACCGAUACUGCUGGAUGGACCCGCGGUGCAUUAGCUAGUUGGUGAGGUAACGGCUCACAAAGGCAACGAUGCAUAGCAGGACUGAGAGGAGGAUCAACCACAAGGGAACGGAGACACGGCCCAGACUCCUACGGGAGGCAGCAGUGGGGAAUAUUCGGCAAUGGACGAAAGGCUUACCGAGCAAUGCCGCGUGUGUGAAGAAGGUUUUCGGAUCGUAAAACUCUGUUGUUAGAGAAGCGGUAUCUAACCAGAAAGCCACGGCUAACUACGUGCCAGCAGCCGCGGUAAUAC